rnacentral:rRNA from 1 species
GACGAACGCUGGCGGCGUGCCUAAUACAUGCAAGUAGAACGCUGAAGGAGGAGCUUGCUUCUCUGGAUGAGUUGCGAACGGGUGAGUAACGCGUAGGUAACCUGCCUGGUAGCGGGGGAUAACUAUUGGAAACGAUAGCUAAUACCGCAUAAUAUUGACUAUUGCAUGAUAGUCAGUUGAAAGGUGCAACUGCACCACUACCAGAUGGACCUGCGUUGUAUUAGCUAGUUGGUGGGGUAACGGCUCACCAAGGCGACGAUACAUAGCCGACCUGAGAGGGUGAUCGGCCACACUGGGACUGAGACACGGCCCAGACUCCUACGGGAGGCAGCAGUAGGGAAUCUUCGGCAAUGGACGGAAGUCUGACCGAGCAACGCCGCGUGAGUGAAGAAGGUUUUCUGAUCGUAAAGCUCUGUUGUAAGAGAAGAACGAGUGUGAGAGUGGAAAGCUCACACUGUGACGGUAUCUUACCAGAAAGGGACGGCUAACUACGUG